UUUACAAGAAACUUAUACUUUCAUGUUAUUCUUGCUGCCAAAAUGCUAAUUAUAAUUCAUGGUCUAAAUAAUUUAGAUUACAAGAAGACCAGUCUAGGUCCUUUUGUAAAAGUUUUUGAGCAGUUUCUUGAAAACCUGGAUAAAUCUCGAAAAGGAGAACUUCUCAAGAAGAGUGAUUUACAAAAAGACUUCUGAAGAUAACAACUCCCUUUUUACCAAUGUGGAUAUCUUCUCCCUUCAACCAAGAAUCAAAUACUUCAAGAGCCAUUUAAUAAAUAUAGCAGAACUGUGUAUGUGUCUUAAUGCUCAAAGCAAAAUUUUCUUUUCUUGAAAAAUAGUUAUGUUGAAAAGAUUCCUGAGACCACCAAAGGAGAAUAUUCAGGUUCCUGGAAGGAGCAAUAAUAGGAGGAUAUAAGUGGAUUGCAGAUUAAUUUGUAAAAUUUAAUAUUAUAAUUCUAAGAUUUCCGAUAUAGGUACUCACUUCUACCAGUUGCCAUAUAUGGAGGUAAGUGAGCAGUAAUAUGCCCAAGAUUUUGAUGUCAGUUCACCAGAUUCAGCCUCCAUAUUUCUAGGUGAAUGAGCAUUUCGUUCUUAAGUCUUAGACACUUAAGUCAAUUAUACCUGGAGUGUGUAUUCAGUCACUCCCUAAGUUUGCUUACUGAUAUUUUUAUUGGUCAGGCCACACCCUGCUGCUUGUCUUUUAAAAAAUUAUUUUAAAAUGAGCAUCUACACCUACUAAAACUUUAGUUCAAAAGAUACGAGUUACUAUGUUACAAUAUUAGGGCCUAGUAGAGUAUUUUUUACAACUGUUGGCAAUUGUAGCUCCUAACUUCUUCCCUCAGAACAAUUUUCUAAGCAAUUUAGAAUAACCAACUUCACCAGCAUAAAACCUUUUGUACUUGUCAAAACACUUGGACUCUCUAUAUCUCCAGCCACUUAAAUUUAAUUUUAAAGGUUUCAUUUCUUCUGUAUUUGAUUUCAUGUGAUAGAUUCUGAAGUGUCAGAUUUCUUUUGCGUGGUUUUACAACCAACCUAACAAAACAGUCAUUCUGGUUUACAUUCUGUCUUUUGAGAAACACUGAGAAGCAAGCUAUCAGGCUGGUGCUUUCCCUGAGUUUUCCUUCCUUUGCACUACCUAUAACAUUGUAUUCUCCAUUGCCACAGUCCGUUUUUUGUUUUUUGUUUUUGAUUUAUAUAAAACAGAUUCUAUAAUACAGUCAACACACUGAAAUGCCUUUCAUUUCUUUCUCUUUUCUAAUUUUUUAAGAAAAAAUAUUAAAGACUAUUGUGUAAAAUUCCUCAUCUGAGCUUCUGUUUACUAUGUAUUGUUCAGUCUUUUUGGAAAACAGUGACUGGUCAAUUAAAACUCCUGAAUACAAAAUUCCUAAAGACUUGGGACUCCUCUGGUGGUCCAGUGGCUGACUCUGUGCUCCCAAUGUAGGGGACCCCAGUUCCAUCCCUGUUCAGGGAACUGGAUGCCACAUACUGCAGCUACAAGUUCACAGACCCAGCGCAGCCAAGUAAAUAAAAAAAUUUUUUUAAUUA